UCGAGAAUAUUUCGCAAUGGGCGAAAGCCUGACGAAGCGACGCCGUGUGAAUGAUGAAGGCCUUCGGGUUGUAAAGUUCUGUCGCCUGGGAACAAGGGUGGGAUGUGAAUAGCGUUCCACUUUGAGGGUACCAGGAAAGGAAGCACCGGCUAACUCCGUGCCAGCAGCUGCGGUAAUACGGAGGGUGCAAGCGUUAGUCGGAAUUACUGGGCGUAAAGGGUGCGUAGGCGGGUAUGUAAGUCAGACGUGAAAUUCCGAGGCUCAACCUCGGAGCUGCAUCUGAAACUGCGUAUCUUGCGGAAUGGCGGAGAAAACGGAAUUCCACGUGUAGCGGUGAAAUGCGUAGAUAUGUGGAAGAACACCUGUGGCGAAAGCGGUUUUCUAGCUUACUCCGGACGCUGAGGCACGAAAGCAAGGGGAUCAAACAGGAUUAGAUACCCGGGUAGUCC
rnacentral:rRNA from 1 species